rnacentral:rRNA from 1 species
GCAUUGACGAUGAUAGCAGUCUGGAACCACCUGAUCCCAUUCCGAACUCAGAAGUGAAACGGUCUCACGCCAAUGAUAGUCUGGCACUGCCCAGGUGAAAGUAGGUAAUCGUCAAGCCU